rnacentral:rRNA from 1 species
ACGUAUUGUAAAGUGGCGCACGGGUGAGUAACACGUGGGUAAUCUGCCCUCGAGUUUGGGAUAACCCCGCGAAAGCGGGGCUAAUACCGAAUAAGACCACGGGGACCAAAGUCCCUGGGGUAAAAGGUGGCCUCUAUUUAUAAGAUACCACUUGAGGAUGAGCCCGCGGCCCAUUAGCUAGUUGGCAGGGUAACGGCCUACCAAGGCAAUGAUGGGUAGCGGGCGUGAGAGCGCGACCCGCCUCAGGGGGAUUGAGAACUGCCCCCACUCCUACGGGAGGCUGCAGUCAAGAAUAUUGGACAAUGGGCGAAAGCCUGAUCCAGCGACGCCGCGUGCAGGAAGAAGGCCUUCGGGUCGUAAACUGCUUUUCUAUGGGAGGAAUUUUUGACGUUACCAUAGGAAUAAGCCACGGCUAACUUCGUGCCAGAAGCCUCGGUAAUGCGAAGGUGGCAAGCGUUAUCCGGAUUCAUUGGGCGUAAAGAGCUCAAAGGCGGUUUUAUAAGUUUUUAGUUAAAUUUUUCUGCUCAACAGAGAAACUGCUAAAAAAACUAUUCAACUUGAGGGUGGGAGAGGUAAGCGGAACGUGUGGUGUAGUAGUGAAAUGCGUUGAUAUCACACGGAACACCAAAAGCGAAAGCAGCUUACUGGAACACACCUGACGCUAUACGAGCGAAAGCGUGGGUAGCGAAUGGGAUUAGAUACCCCAGUAGUCCACGCCCUAAACGAUGGAUGCUAGAUCUUGGAAGUGUCGACCCUUUCAGGAUCCUGAAGCUAACGCGUUAAGCAUCCCGCCUGGGGAGUACGGUCGCAAGACUAAAACUCAAAGGAAUUGACGGGAACCCGCACAAGCGGUGGAGCAUGUGGUUUAAUUCGACAACAAACGAGGAACCUUACCAGGCUUUGACAUCAUACCUAUGUCUUUUCUGAAAGGAGAAGUCUUAGUGGUAUGACAGGUGAUGCAUGGCUGCCGUCAGCUCGUGCCGUGAGGUGUAGGGUUAAGUCCUCUAACGAGCGCAACCCUCACUCUGAUUUAAAUUUUUAUCAAAGAACUGCCUCGGUCAACGUUUAAAAGGGGUUUGCCAAAUCCGCAAGAUUGGAGCUAAUCCCCACCAAAAUACCCCCCAGUUCGGAUUUGAGGGCUGAAAAUUCCCCCUCAUGAAGCCCGGAAUCCCUAUUAACCCGCCUUCACCUUUUGGCGCGGGAAAUUC